rnacentral:rRNA from 1 species
AUUGAACGCUGGCGGCAGGCCUAACACAUGCCAGUCGAACGGUAACAGGAAGCAGCUUGCUGCUUUGCUGACGAGUGGCUGACGGGUGAGUAAUGUCUGGGAAACUGCCCGAUGGAGGGGGAUAACUACUGGAAACGGUAGCUAAUACCGCAUAACGUCGCAAGACCAAAGAGGGGGACCUUAGGGCCUCUUGCCAUCGGAUGUGCCCAGAUGGGAUUAGCUAGUAGGUGGGGUAACGGCUCACCUAGGCGACGAUCCCUAGCUGGUCUGAGAGGAUGACCAGCCACACUGGAACUGAGACACGGUCCAGACUCCUACGGGAGGCAGCAGUGGGGAAUAUUGCACAAUGGGCGCAAGCCUGAUGCAGCCAUGCCGCGUGUAUGAAGAAGGCCUUCGGGUUGUAAAGUACUUUCAGCGGGGAGGAAGGGAGUAAAGUUAAUACCUUUGCUCAUUGACGUUACCCGCAGAAGAAGCACCGGCUAACUCCGUG